rnacentral:misc_RNA from 1 species
GAUGAAGAACGCAGCGAAAUGCGAUAAGUAAUGUGAAUUGCAGAAUUUAGUGAAUCAUCGAAUCUUUGAACGCACAUUGCGCCCGCCAGUAUUCUGGCGGGCAUGCCUGUCUGAGCGUCAUUUCAACCCUCAAGCAACUUCUGCUUGGUGUUGGGGAUCGGCCGUCAAACGCCGCCCCCGAAAUCUAUUGGCGAUCUCGCUGUAGCUUCCUAUGCGUAGUAGUAACAUCUCGCAUCUGGAGAGCGGCGCGGUCAUGCCGUAAAACACCCAACUUCUCAGGUUGACCUCAGAUCAGGUAGGAAUACCCGCUGAACUUAAGCAUAUCAAUAAGCGGAGGA